rnacentral:piRNA from 1 species
UACUCUUUUGAUUUCCAGAUGCUGCUCCAAG